UUGGUGAUAUCUUUACCACAGCAAGGGCAGUAAAUGUAGUACUUAUGUUGGUUCCUGAUCACAGUCUCCACCUCAUCAUCCAGUGAAUCAGACCUUGUUCCUGGCUGAAGUCAACACCAUCGUCCUUUUCGCUGCCGAGUGGUGAGUCUGGUGACAGGUUGGUCAAUUCAUUGGUACAUACACCGUCUCCGGGUCCGGGGAAGCUUGGAGAUGGAGCCUGAUUCUUGGUGGGUUCCAUCGUAAACAAACAAAGAUGAGAUUCAGAACCAUUGUCAUGGAAGCCGUACUUCUUAAGCAGAUCACUGAGAAGUUGACUGGUGAUGAAAGAAAGCGCAGACGCUCCAAUCGCCAUUCCGG